rnacentral:tRNA from 1 species
GUUGGUUAAAGUCCUUCCCUUACUA